rnacentral:rRNA from 1 species
AGCUCCAAUAGCGUAUGUUAAAGUUGUUGCGGCUAAAAGCUCGUAGUUGGAUUUCUGUUGAGGACAACCGGUCCACUCUAUGAGUGUGUAUCUGGUUUGGCCUCGGCAUCCGCUCUGUUUACGUUUCUGCGCUUGAUUGCGUGGAGCGGAGGUAGGGCCUUUUACUUUGAGGAAAUUAGAGUGUUCACGGCAGGCAGUCGCCCUGAAUAUAUUAGCAUGGAAUAACAACAUAGGAUUUUGGCUUUUGUUGUUGGUACUAGAGCUAAAAUAAUGAUAAAUAGGGACAAUUGGGGGCAUUCGUAUUGCGGUGUCAGAGGUGGAAUUCUUGGAUUACUGCACGACGAACUACUGCGAAAGCAUUUGCCAAGGAUGUUUUCAUUGAUCAAGAACGAAAGUUAACACUGGA